UAAGGAAUAUUGGUCAAUGGACGCAAGUCUGAACCAGCCAUGCCGCGUGGAGGAUGAAGGUCCUCUGGAUUGUAAACUUCUUUUAUUUGGGAAGAAACCCACGAUUUCUAUUGUGGUUGACGGUACCAGAUGAAUAAGCACCGGCUAACUCCGUGCCAGCAGCCGCGGUAAUACGGAGGGUGCAAGCGUUAUCCGGAUUCACUGGGUUUAAAGGGUGCGUAGGCGGGUUGGUAAGUCCGUGGUGAAAUCUCCAAGCUUAACUUGGAAACUGCCGUGGAUACUAUCAAUCUUGAAUUUAGUGGAGGUGAGCGGAAUAUGUCAUGUAGCGGUGAAAUGCUUAGAUAUGACAUAGAACACCCAUUGCGAAGGCAGCUCGCUACACUAUUAUUGACGCUGAGGCACGAAAGCGUGGGGAUCAAACAGGAUUAGAUACCCUGGUAGUCCACGCCCUAAACGAUGAUUACUCGACAUCAGCGAUACACUGUUGGUGUCUGAGCGAAAGCAUUAAGUAAUCCACCUGGGAAGUACGACCGCAAGGUUG
rnacentral:rRNA from 1 species